UAACAACCAAUUAUUCUCCACCGGCAGCAUACUCAACAUCAUCAUCACAAAUCUUCUAAAGGUGGCAUAUUAUCACAAUCAGAAUCAGAUUCAACAUCCCCAUUGUCCCUAAUAAACAUGACCACCUUAUUUGGACAUUGUGAAGCAAUAUGUCCCACUCCCAAACAUCUAAAACAUUUAAUAUUUCUAUAUUUAUUAGUAGAUGUGAGAUCAGAAGUACCUUUAAUAGAUGAUGGGGUACCUCUACCUUUGCCUUUGUUGAAAUCUGUAGCCUUCUCCUUGUAACCAAAAUUCUUAUCCUCU
rnacentral:lncRNA from 1 species